AUUGAAAGCUGGCUGCAGGCCUAACACAUGCAAGUCGAACGAGUGGCGGACGGGUGAGUAAUGUCUGGUAAACUGCCUGAUGGAGUGGGAUCACUACUGGAAACGGUAGCUAAUACCGCAUACCAUCGGAUGUGCCCAGAUGGGAUUAGCUAGUAGGUGGGGUAAAGGCUCGCCUAGGCGACGAUCCCUAGCUGGUCUGAGAGGAUGACCAGCCACACUGUAACUGAGAAACGGUCCAGACUCCUACGGGAGUCAGCAGUGGGGAAUAUUGCACAAUGGGCGCAAGCCUGAUGCAGCCAUGCCGCGUGUAUGAAUAAGGCCUUCGGGUUGUAAGGUACUUUCAGCGGGGAGUCGUUACCCGCAGAAGAAGCACCGGCUAACUCCGUGCCAGCAGCCGCGGUAAUAC
rnacentral:rRNA from 1 species